rnacentral:rRNA from 1 species
UUCGCAAUGCCCGAAAGGGUGACGAAGCGACGCCGCGUGGGUGAAGAAGGCCUUCGGGUUGUAAAGCCCUGUCAGGAGUUAUGAAAUGUAAGUGCGCUAAUAUCGUGCUUAUUUGACAAAGGCUCCAAAGGAAGCCACGGCUAACUCUGUGCCAGCAGCCGCGGUAAUACAGAGGUGGCGAGCGUUGUUCGGAAUUAUUGGGCGUAAAGAGCACGUAGGUGGGUUUGCAAGUCAGAUGUGAAAGCCUUCUGUUCAACGGGAGAAUUGCAUCUGAAACUGCUAAUCUUGAGUAUAGGAGGGGAGAAUGGAACUUUUGGUGGAGCGGUGAAAUGCGUAGAUAUCAGAAGGAACGCCGGCGGCGAAAGCGAUUCUCUGGCCUAUUACUGACACUCAGUGUGCGAAAGCUAGGGGAGCAAACGGGAUUAGAUACCCCGGUAGUCCUAGCCGUAAACGAUGGGCACUAAGUAGA